rnacentral:rRNA from 1 species
UUUUAUGGAGAGUUUGAUCCUGGCUCAGGAUGAACGCUGGCGGCGUGCCUAAUACAUGCAAGUCGAGCGAACGGACGAGAAGCUUGCUUCUCUGAUGUUAGCGGCGGACGGGUGAGUAACACGUGGAUAACCUACCUAUAAGACUGGGAUAACUUCGGGAAACCGGAGCUAAUACCGGAUAAUAUUUUGAACCGCAUGGUUCAAAAGUGAAAGACGGUCUUGCUGUCACUUAUAGAUGGAUCCGCGCUGCAUUAGCUAGUUGGUAAGGUAACGGCUUACCAAGGCAACGAUGCAUAGCCGACCUGAGAGGGUGAUCGGCCACACUGGAACUGAGACACGGUCCAGACUCCUACGGGAGGCAGCAGUAGGGAAUCUUCCGCAAUGGGCGAAAGCCUGACGGAGCAACGCCGCGUGAGUGAUGAAGGUCUUCGGAUCGUAAAACUCUGUUAUUAGGGAAGAACAUAUGUGUAAGUAACUGUGCACAUCUUGACGGUACCUAAUCAGAAAGCCACGGCUAACUACGUGCCAGCAGCCGCGGUAAUACGUAGGUGGCAAGCGUUAUCCGGAAUUAUUGGGCGUAAAGCGCGCGUAGGCGGUUUUUUAAGUCUGAUGUGAAAGCCCACGGCUCAACCGUGGAGGGUCAUUGGAAACUGGAAAACUUGAGUGCAGAAGAGGAAAGUGGAAUUCCAUGUGUAGCGGUGAAAUGCGCAGAGAUAUGGAGGAACACCAGUGGCGAAGGCGACUUUCUGGUCUGUAACUGACGCUGAUGUGCGAAAGCGUGGGGAUCAAACAGGAUUAGAUACCCUGGUAGUCCACGCCGUAAACGAUGAGUGCUAAGUGUUAGGGGGUUUCCGCCCCUUAGUGCUGCAGCUAACGCAUUAAGCACUCCGCCUGGGGAGUACGACCGCAAGGUUGAAACUCAAAGGAAUUGACGGGGACCCGCACAAGCGGUGGAGCAUGUGGUUUAAUUCGAAGCAACGCGAAGAACCUUACCAAAUCUUGACAUCCUUUGACAACUCUAGAGAUAGAGCCUUCCCCUUCGGGGGACAAAGUGACAGGUGGUGCAUGGUUGUCGUCAGCUCGUGUCGUGAGAUGUUGGGUUAAGU